rfam:Triticum aestivum genome assembly, contig: Triticum_aestivum_CS42_TGACv1_scaffold_032218_1BL
CUGAUACUCCCUCUGUCCCAAAAUUCUUGUCUUCGAUUUGCCUAGAUACAGAUGUAUUUAAUACUAAAACAUGAUUUAAUACAUCCAUAUUUAAACAAAUCUAAAACAAGAAUUUUGAAGCGGCGGGAGUACUUG